GGGUUGUGAGGUUAAGCGACUAAGCGUACACGGUGGAUGCCCUGGCAGUCAGAGGCGAUGAAGGGCGUGCUAAUCUGCGAUAAGCGCCGGUAAGGUGAUAUGAACCGUUAUAACCGGCGAUACCCGAAUGGGGAAACCCAGUGUGACUCGUCACACUAUCAUUAACUGAAUCCAUAGGUUAAUGAGGCGAACCGGGGGAACUGAAACAUCUAAGUACCCCGAGGAAAAGAAAUCAACCGAGAUUCCCCCAGUAGCGGCGAGCGAACGGGGAGGAGCCCAGAGCCUGAAUCAGCAUGUGUGUUAGUGGAAGCGUCUGGAAAGGCGCGCGAUACAGGGUGACAGCCCCGUACACAAAAGCGCAUGUGCUGUGAGCUCGAUGAGUAGGGCGGGACACGUGGUAUCCUGUCUGAAUAUGGGGGGACCAUCCUCCAAGGCUAAAUACUCCUGACUGACCGAUAGUGAACCAGUACCGUGAGGGAAAGGCGAAAAGAACCCCGGCGAGGGGAGUGAAAAAGAACCUGAAACCGUGUACGUACAAGCAGUGGGAGCACCCUUUGGGGUGUGACUGCGUACCUUUUGUAUAAUGGGUCAGCGACUUAUAUUCUGUAGCAAGGUUAACCGAAUAGGGGAGCCGGAGGGAAACCGAGUCUUAAUUGGGCGUUAAGUUGCAGGGUAUAGACCCGAAACCCGGUGAUCUAGCCAUGGGCAGGUUGAAGGUUGGGUAACACUAACUGGAGGACCGAACCGACUAAUGUUGAAAAAUUAGCGGAUGACCUGUGGCUGGGGGUGAAAGGCCAAUCAAACCGGGAGAUAGCUGGUUCUCCCCGAAAGCUAUUUAGGUAGCGCCUCGUGAAUUCAUCUCCGGGGGUAGAGCACUGUUUCGGCUAGGGGGCCAUCCCGGCUUACCAACCCGAUGCAAACUGCGAAUACCGGAGAAUGUUAUCACGGGAGACACACGGCGGGUGCUAACGUCCGUCGUGAAGAGGGAAACAACCCAGACCGCCAGCUAAGGUCCCAAAGUCAUGGUUAAGUGGGAAACGAUGUGGGAAGGCCCAGACAGCCAGGAUGUUGGCUUAGAAGCAGCCAUCAUUUAAAGAAAGCGUAAUAGCUCACUGGUCGAGUCGGCCUGCGCGGAAGAUGUAACGGGGCUAAACCAUGCACCGAAGCU
rnacentral:rRNA from 1 species